rnacentral:rRNA from 1 species
UAGGGAAUCUUCCACAAUGGGCGCAAGCCUGAUGGAGCAACGCCGCGUGAGUGAAGGAGGUUUUCGGAUCGUAAAGCUCUGUUGUAAGAGAAGAACGUGUGUGAGAGUGGAAAGUUCACACAGUGACGGUAACUUACCAGAAAGGGACGGCUAACUACGUGCCCG